CCUACGGGUGGCAGCAGUGGGGAAUAUUGGACAAUGGGGGCAACCCUGAUCCAGCCAUGCCGCGUGUGUGAAGAAGGCCCUCGGGUUGUAAAGCACUUUCAGUGAGGAAGAACGCCUGGUGGUUAAUACCCAUCAGGAAAGACAUCACUCACAGAGGAAGCACCGGCUAACUCCGUGCCAGCAGCCGCGGUAAUACGGAGGGUGCGAGCGUUAAUCGGAAUUACUGGGCGUAAAGCGCGCGUAGGUGGCUUGAUAAGCCGGUUGUGAAAGCCCCGGGCUCAACCUGGGAACGGCAUCCGGAACUGUCAAGCUAGAGUGCAGGAGAGGAAGGUAGAAUUCCCGGUGUAGCGGUGAAAUGCGUAGAGAUCGGGAGGAAUACCAGUGGCGAAGGCGGCCUUCUGGACUGACACUGACACUGAGGUGCGAAAGCGUGGGUAGCAAACAGGAUUAGAUACCCCUGUAGUC
rnacentral:rRNA from 1 species